GGUUGGUUGGCAUUAUAUAUUAUAUUUUGUUCAGUCAUCUUCGCGCAGAAUAUAUACACGUGUGCAAUAUGAGUUUAAUGUGUGAAAUUAUUCACGUCAAUUAUGUCGCCAUAAUUAGAUAGGUGGAAGAUUGAGGCAUCAUGCCACGAUUGAGCCAUUUAAUGUCUGUACGCUCUUCGUUAAUAAAAUAUAAGUGUAUGCUUUCAGUUUAAAUUCUUCAUCAUCAUCAUCGGACAUGUUUAAUCCACUGCUCGAUGGAUACUGAUUUAAUUACCAGCUAAUGCUCACACACUUGUGUGGUGACGUGGAAUGAGUCACUGGAGCGCGUGCCGCUGGGAGAUUGGUAGACAAUGGCAUUAGGACUAUCAGCCCGUUCUACCAGUUGCAGCUGUGGGCAAAGCAUGAAGCCAUCUGAAGGAUCCAGAGGGGUGCAGGGCCGAGGGUGGAGCCUGGCCACGCUUUUCAGGAUAUAAGGCGAGCUCCAACUCACAGUCGGGGCAGCUGCGAUCUGGAAUGGAAUUCGUCGUGCUGUCGUAAUUGUGAUCGUCACCCUCUUCAAGCUGUGGGUUUGGCAGCAUGUUGGCUGUCCCGACCCGGUGUGUGGUUAUCCCCUAAGGCUCUGAAGGUCGGAAUGAAAGAGAUAGAGUACUUCCUAUUAGUGUCUGUGAACUAGAACACAACAUUUGGUGUCAGGCGUGUUAACGAAUUUUUUAUUUAUAUUUUAGGGUUGUUAUGAAUUUUUUUUCUUCGAAUCCUUGAGGGGGAAAUAGACUAUGCUGAAACACGUGAAGAGGAAGGCUCUCACCCGCAUACCCUCGGGCAAGGAGGAUUCCCGGGCAGGGCUGGCAACCGGGACCCCUUGUGGGGGGCCCCGGAGUGGUGAUCCCGGCGGGGCAGCGAGCAAAGGGCGACGGCUCUGCGCCGCCGCCGGCUGAAGGGGGGCUGCGGGCAAUCGGCAAGCGCAUCGUGGGGCGGCUUUCCACAGUGUCGACCCUGGUGGGGCAGCUGGGCAGGGAACAGCCGAAGGAAGGGGCUGUGGCUCGGGGGUGGCGAGCGGGCGACUCCACCAUCACUGCCGACCGAGGGCAGGAAUUGGGUCCCUUUAACCUGCCGCCGACAGCUCAUCCGGGGGCACCUUCCCUAGCGCAGCGGCUGCCGCUUCUCAAUUAAUUUUCGGCUGCGGGGGGUGCUUGGGCGGCCUUCCAGCGGCGGUUCUCCACCACUUGCGAGCUCGCAGGGUGGUCCGAUGCGGAGGCGCUACUUAUUCUUCCCACCGCACUGGAUGACAGCCUUGGCGGCGUUUUUUUACAUUCCGGAGGUGGACAGAACGAAGCUGCGUCAAGCGUACUCCCAGUUGGCGGCAAUUUUUGAACUGCCGUCCAACGCGGCAGACAUUCGUAAUACAGAGUUGGGGGGAGACAGAGACACCCCGCGCUUUCUGCAGCGCACUGCUGUCGCUGGCCAAGGAUGCGUACCCAAAGAUGGAGCGGGCAGGACUGGAUUCUCUGGUGCUUGAGAAAAUGUUGACGCUGGCUCAGGAAAUUAACGUUUGUUUGCCGGCCACAGAGGAGGAUGACCUGUCCUCGAUUCAGGUGGUUGGAGCCUGCGGAGGACAUUCGGAGUGGGACGACGAUGGGACAAGCGGCGGGGGGGGGGGGGCCCAUUACCUCUUUCAGUUGUGGCCUACCGGGACACAUCUCCAGGGGCUGCCGUGCUGAUUUGGGGCCGCCUCCGCUCCUCUGGGUCCAAAGGCAGGUUGCAAUAGGUCACACACCCGGCCGACACAGCCACCUCAUGCAUCCCAUUGCAGUCAGUGUCAGGUGCACACGCCGUCGCCCCUCAUAGGAAUACGGGGUAUGAAGGUGGUGCAUGAUGGUUGGCAAUGGACCGCACUGGCACACUGUGUCAUGGCAGCGGGAUCAUCCACAGUAUGUGGAUUUGUGCAGGCUGUUGAGGUGCGAAUGCUCAUAGAUACGGGGGCAUCCGCCACCAUGGGUUCAGAGUUUAUUUUUAGGACUCUGCCAUAGAUGUGGGUUGCCUGGGUCUGGUAGAUAAUUUGUUGCCGCUAAUGGUGGGAGUUUAGGCAUUGUGGGCUAAAUCAAGGCAUCUAUACGGACUGGCGAUAUUGAAAGGACGGGCCUGGUGUUGGUUUCAAGUUCGUUAGCGGUGCCUUGUUUAUUGUGGAAGGAUUUUUGGAAGAGGAUGCCCCUCUGGAUUUUAAUUGACCAGGGUUGUGUGGAGUUACCGUCGGGGCAUCGGUUGAGAUUUUUGGAGUCCCCCUACUGGAUGGUGUAUCGCUAACACUGUGGUUCAGGCCAUGGUGUGUGAAACUGUUAGGGUUCCCCUGGGUGCACAGAUGCUCAUACCCUUGAGCUGCGGUCACGGCUCGACCAGAAAAUCGCUGGGAGUGAGGUUCUUCUAACCCCUUCAAAUAGAGCAGUUCGUGGGCAAAUUUUUAUAGGGCAUCAGACCUAGUGUGGGGAGCGGUGGCGCAGCGGUUAACACA